GGGAGUGUAGCUCAGCGGUUAGAGCAGGAGGCUCAUAAUCUCUUGGUCGUGGGUUCGAUUCCCACCACUCCCACCA
rnacentral:tRNA from 2 species